CUACGGAGGGCGCAAGCGUUGCCCGGAAUCACUGGGUGUAAAGGGUGCGUAGGCGGGGCUGUAAGUCAGAGGUGAAAGCCCUCGGCUCAACCGGGGAAUUGCCUCUGAUACUGCAGCUCUUGAGUCCCGGAGAGGCCGCUGGAAUUCCUGGUGUAGCGGUGAAAUGCGUAGAUAUCAGGAGGAACACCGGAGGCGAAGGCGGGCGGCUGGACGGGGACUGACGCUGAGGCACGAAAGCGUGGGGAGCAAACAGGAUUAGAAACCCUAGUAGUCC
rnacentral:rRNA from 1 species